rnacentral:rRNA from 1 species
UAAUACGGAGGGUGCAAGCGUUGUUCGGAAUUAUUGGGCGUAAAGCGCGUGUAGGCGGUCUUUUAAGUCUGAUGUGAAAGCCCCGGGCUCAACCUGGGAAGUGCAUUGGAAACUGGGAGGCUUGAGUACGGGAGAGGAGAGUGGAAUUCCUAGUGUAGGAGUGAAAUCCGUAGAUAUUAGGAGGAACACCGGUGGCGAAGGCGGCUCUCUGGACCGAUACUGACGCUGAGACGCGAAAGCGUGGGUAGCAAACAGGAUUAGAUACCCUGGUAGUCCACGCCGUAAACGAUGAGUACUAGGUGUUGCGGGUAUUGACCCCUGCAGUGCCGUAGCUAACGCAUUAAGUACUCCGCCUGGG